AGCUCCGGCUCCACUUCCCUAACGCCGCUUCUAAGGAGCUGAAGUUGCCAGGAUCUUGCUGCAGAGCCACAUGGAGUGCUUCAGUAUCUGAGGAGGGAAGAAUGCUGCUGAACAUUGUAUUCCCAGCAGCAGGAAGGGAAAGGUUGUGUCACAAACAACGAAAUGCAUCUUCUCAGGGAAAGGAUCGAUAGAGUGUAUGAGACCAUUCUGGCUGUCUUUGGUGUUCCUGACAUAUCUUCGAGGCCAUUAAGGUGCGGAAGGAACUGAGAGGUCAGAGAAAAACACAGAAUGAUCCAGAGGUAGAGAGCAGGAAGAAUUCUGUGAUUGUACUCUUUGCCAUAUCUGCCAGCUUCAUACUUCUCUGGUUGUUGCAUAUUUUAUAUUUCUUUAAUGCAGGUUAUUCCUUGGAUAAA